rnacentral:rRNA from 1 species
GAUCCUACGGGACGCAGCAGUGGGGAAUAUUGGACAAUGGGGGGAACCCUGAUCCAGCGACGCCGCGUGAGUGAAGAAGUAUUUCGGUAUGUAAAGCUCUAUCAGCAGGGAAGAAAGAAAUGACGGUACCUGACUAAGAAGCCCCGGCUAACUACGUGCCAGCAGCCGCGGUAAUACGUAGGGGGCAAGCGUUAUCCGGAUUUACUGGGUGUAAAGGGAGCGUAGACGGCCGUGCAAGCCAGGAGUGAAAGCCCGGGGCCCAACCCCGGGACUGCUCUUGGAACUGUGCGGCUGGAGUGCGGGAG